CUGGGAGGCUCUCCUUGAUUUUACGUUAUUGGGCUUCUCACGAUUUUAAAUAAGACGUACGAAAUACGAGAACUGCCGGUGUGAAAGUAGUGGGGCGGAUCUACAAUAAUUACGUGCACAUGGCGUUGAGCUCUCCCAAGAAGAAUUUGCUAAUGAAUUCAGUGUGCGGAAUAAACGGUAGACCGACAGAUAAACUAUAUAGGAAUUAUGUCCAAUGGGAUAUAUAGUUUAAAACCGGUCCACUCUGAAGAACAUGGAAGCUGAACUUUAAGAUCAUUUUGACAUCACCAUGGUGACAGUCCCCAGCUGCUCUGUACCCUUCCUACACAAAAAUUGGGGAACCAUUUUACAAUUUAACAGCUAAGGUCCAGCUCCAAAGGGACCACUGGUCAAGGUCAUCUGUAGAAGGCUGAGUCAAGGUCAACUGAAGAAAUAAAUUUUUGAGAAAGUAGCUCUGUAUCAAGUGACCGUUAUAAGACUUUUUAAGCAGCAUGGGAGACGGUCUCUUUUCCUUGAUGACCUGCUGUGUAGGAGAACAACCACAGCCCACUAGAUCUACAGUUGUGCUGCUAAAGUACACCUAUAGAUAAGAAUUUUUUUCAAACUGUAACUGAUAUUUACAAGAUAUAGAAGAGUUACUCUGUCAUUUUCACUUUUGAAUUAAAGUGUUCAAUUCAUGCAAAAUAUUACAAAGAUGUUUGUAUU